GUUACGUAGCGCUCGGGGGCCGUGGAAAAGUGUGGGGUGCAGGAGUGAAUCGGAAUGACGGGGGGAAGGGCGUGCGUGAGAGGGGUGUGGGGUCUGAUGUGAAAGCCCCGGGCUCAACCGGGGAAUGGCAUUGGAAACUGGCGAGCUUGAGUGUGGCAGAGGGGGGUGGAAUUCCGCGUGUAGCAGUGAAAUGCGUAGAGAUGCGGAGGAACACCGAUGGCGAAGGCAGCCCCCUGGGCCAACACUGACGCUCAGGCACGAAAGCGUGGGGAGCAAACAGGAUUAGAUACCCGAGUAGUC
rnacentral:rRNA from 1 species